GAAAUUAUAAUAAAAGCAAAAUGGAUUUGAAUCACUUUGCAAGUCUUUCAGCAUCCUGCUAGUCUCCCAUCAGUGAAGACAUUUUAUCCAAUUACAUUCUCUCCUGAUAGGGAAGACCUGUGUGAGUACAAGAUGCCCUCAAAACCAUCCCCUAUUUACACCUCUAUUGUGGCAGGGAAUUUGCAUAUCGUUCCCCAGGGAGGUCCUUGCCUUGCCAUCCUAAGAUAAAAGCUCAGCUGUACUCUUGCUUUCAGCGAUUCCUCUCCUAAGUUCAUUUCCUCACAAUGAUGAGUCCUGUCCAGUCCCUGUUUCUGUUAUUGCUUUGGAUUCUGGGAACCAAUGGUGAUGUUGUGCUGACCCAGACUCCACCUACUUUAUUGGCUACCAUUGGACAAUCAGUCUCCAUCUCUUGCAGGUCAAGUCAGAGUCUCUUACAUAGUAAUGGAAACACCUAUUUAAAUUGGUUGCUACAGAGGACAGGCCAAUCUCCACAGCCGCUAAUUUAUUUGGUAUCCAAACUGGAAUCUGGGGUCCCCAACAGGUUCAGUGGCAGUGGGUCAGGAACAGAUUUCACACUCAAAAUCAGUGGAGUGGAAGCUGAGGAUUUGGGGGUUUAUUACUGCAUGCAAUUUACCCAUUAUCCUCCCACAGUGAUACAGACCCUAACAAAAAAUGUCCUUGCUUGAGGUAGCCCAGCUG
rnacentral:lncRNA from 1 species